rnacentral:rRNA from 1 species
GUUUGAUCAUGGCUCAGAUUGAACGCUGGCGGCAGGCCUAACACAUGCAAGUCGAACGGUAACAGGAAGAAGCUUGCUUCUUUGCUGACGAGUGGCGGACGGGGGAGUAAUGUCUGGGAAACUGCCUGAUGGAGGGGGAUAACUACUGGAAACGGUAGCUAAUACCGCAUAACGUCGCAAGACCAAAGAGGGGGACCUUCGGGCCUCUUGCCAUCGGAUGUGCCCAGAUGGGAUUAGCUAGUAGGUGGGGUAACGGCUCACCAAGGCGACGAUCCCUAGCUGGUCUGAGAGGAUGACCAGCCACACUGGAACUGAGACACGGUCCAGACUCCUACGGGAGGCAGCAGUGGGGAAUAUUGCACAAUGGGCGCAAGCCUGAUGCAGCCAUGCCGCGUGUAUGAAGAAGGCCUUCGGGUUGUAAAGUACUUUCAGCGGGGAGGAAGGGAGUAAAGUUAAUACCUUUGCUCAUUGACGUUACCCGCAGAAGAAGCACCGGCUAACUCCGUGCCAGCAGCCGCGGUAAUACGGAGGGUGCAAGCGUUAAUCGGAAUUACUGGGCGUAAAGCGCACGCAGGCGGUUUGUUAAGUCAGAUGUGAAAUCCCCGGGCUCAACCUGGGAACUGCAUCUGAUACUGGCAAGCUUGAGUCUCGUAGAGGGGGGUAGAAUUCCAGGUGUAGCGGUGAAAUGCGUAGAGAUCUGGAGGAAUACCGGUGGCGAAGGCGGCCCCCUGGACGAAGACUGACGCUCAGGUGCGAAAGCGUGGGGAGCAAACAGGAUUAGAUACCCUGGUAGUCCACGCCGUAAACGAUGUCGACUUGGAGGUUGUGCCCUUGAGGCGUGGCUUCCGGAGCUAACGCGUUAAGUCGACCGCCUGGGGAGUACGGCCGCAAGGUUAAAACUCAAAUGAAUUGACGGGGGCCCGCACAAGCGGUGGAGCAUGUGGUUUAAUUCGAUGCAACGCGAAGAACCUUACCUGGUCUUGACAUCCACGGAAGUUUUCAGAGAUGAGAAUGUGCCUUCGGGAACCGUGAGACAGGUGCUGCAUGGCUGUCGUCAGCUCGUGUUGUGAAAUGUUGGGUUAAGUCCCGCAACGAGCGCAACCCUUAUCCUUUGUUGCCAGCGGUCCGGCCGGGAACUCAAAGGAGACUGCCAGUGAUAAACUGGAGGAAGGUGGGGAUGACGUCAAGUCAUCAUGGCCCUUACGACCAGGGCUACACACGUGCUACAAUGGCGCAUACAAAGAGAAGCGACCUCGCGAGAGCAAGCGGACCUCAUAAAGUGCGUCGUAGUCCGGAUUGGAGUCUGCAACUCGACUCCAUGAAGUCGGAAUCGCUAGUAAUCGUGGAUCAGAAUGCCACGGUGAAUACGUUCCCGGGCCUUGUACACACCGCCCGUCACACCAUGGGAGUGGGUUGCAAAAGAAGUAGGUAGCUUAACCUU